GACGAACGCUGGCGGCGUGCUUAACACAUGCAAGUCGAACGGAAAGGCCCUGCUUUUGUGGGGUGCUCGAGUGGCGAACGGGUGAGUAACACGUGAGUAACCUGCCCUUGACUUUGGGAUAACUUCAGGAAACUGGGGCUAAUACCGGAUAGGAGCUCCUGCUGCAUGGUGGGGGUUGGAAAGUUUCGGCGGUUGGGGAUGGACUCGCGGCUUAUCAGCUUGUUGGUGGGGUAGUGGCUUACCAAGGCUUUGACGGGUAGCCGGCCUGAGAGGGUGACCGGCCACAGUGGGACUGAGAUACGGACCAGAGUCGUACGGGAGGCAGCAGUGGGGAGUAUUGAACAAGGGGCGGAAGCCUGAUGCAGAAGCGCCGCGUGCGGGAUGAAGGCCUUCGGGGUGUAAACCGCUUUCGCCUGUGACGAAGCGUGAGUGACGGUAAUGGGUAAAGAAGCACCGGCUAACUACGUG
rnacentral:rRNA from 1 species